GUGUCAGCAGCCGCGGUAAUACGUAGGUGGCAAGCGUUGUCCGGAUUUACUGGGCGUAAAGGGCGCGCAGGUGGUUUUUUAAGUCUGAUGUGAAAUCCCAGGGCUUAACCGGGGGGGGGCAUUGGAAACUGGGAGACUUGAGUGCAGAAGAGGAAAGUGGAAUUCCAAGUGUAGCGGUGAAAUGCGUAGAGAUUUGGAGGAACACCAGUGGCGAAGGCGACUUUCUGGUCUGCAACUGACGCUGAGGCGCGAAAGCGUGGGGAGCAAACAGGAUUAGAUACCCUGGUAGUCCACGCCGUAAACGAUGAGUGCUAAGUGUUAGGGGGUU
rnacentral:rRNA from 1 species